rnacentral:hammerhead_ribozyme from 1 species
ACCCAGCUGACGAGCCCCAAAUAGGACGAAACGCGUGUCCUGAAU